AAAGUAUUGCAUUGCUUGUGCUGCUCCGAUGAUUUGCUCUACACCAGUUGAUCAGAUUCAGCAGAAUAUAUAAGAUAUGUUACCUUUCGAUCAGGGAUCGGCACAUAUUCACAUUUUGUUAGUACCAAAGACUAUACAAUACCAAGAUGUUGCAUGAAGAACAAAUGCUUUUUCUAUUUUCGUUUGACGCUUCACGGUAC